rnacentral:rRNA from 1 species
UACAGAGGGCGCGAGCGUUGUCCGGAAUCACUGGGCGUAAAGGGCGCGUAGGCGGUCUGCUAAGUUGGAUGUGAAAACUCUGGGCUUAACCCAGAGCCUGCAUUCAAUACUGACAGGCUAGAGUUCUGGAGGGGAUAGCGGAAUUCCUGGUGUAGCGGUGAAAUGCGAAGAUAUCAGGAGGAACACCGGUGGCGAAGGCGGCUAUCUGGACAGAGUCUGACGCUGAGGCGCGAAAGCUAGGGGAGCAAACAGG